rnacentral:lncRNA from 1 species
UAUAACUGAACGUUGCCAAAAUAUUUUCAAAUACCGUCAGGUAAUCGAUUAUUCAUUUCCUAUAAUCGAAUGUUUUAAUUAAAAUCUGGAAAGGAUUUUUUGGACGUUGCUGAGUAAUCGAUUGUAGAUUGUUGACAAUUGAUUGUUUUACGUAAAAUCUGGAAAUGAGUUUUUGAACGUUGCCAGUAAUCGAUUAAUGAUCUUAUAUAAUCGAUUGUUAUGCGUAAAAUCUGGGAUUGAUUUUUGGAAGAACUGGC